rnacentral:lncRNA from 1 species
UGAAAAGGAUACUCCAGCCCUUACCCCAUGCAUCUCCAGCAGAGCACAAGGCAUUACGCUGGUCUGAUCCACAGGCCUCAUGUCUCCAGGUCCUGCUCAAGUCUUGCAUCUCCUCAGCACCCAGUGUUUGUGUAAAGUCAAAUCCUUCAGUUUGUGAUCUCCACAGCACUCAUUAGGUACUUUACUGCUUAAGACAAGACUAUCUUAUACUUUAACAUCUUUUACUUUUGCUGAUUUUAUAAUGAAUAUUUUUUCUUUUCACUUAUAUCAGAAUCCCCUUGUGAUUUCUUGUUCUUCUUCAUAGUCUCAGCACCUAUUAAACUGCUCUGUAAGAAAUAAUUACUUAAAUGUCUACUAAUAUUAAUGGUUUGAACCACUAAAAUCAGAACCUGGAUAUCAUAG